rnacentral:lncRNA from 1 species
UUUUUUGUUUGUUAAAUUGAAUGAGGUUUAUUUCCAGCAAUAUGUCUUCGGAUCUAUUUAUACAAGGACAAGCUCCUAUGUUAUGUCAACUUUGUGAUCAAACGGGGUCUAUCAAAUGGAAAUGCCUGACCUGUGAAUUACUUAUGUGUGGUAAAUGUCGCGAUAACGUGCACUCCAAAUUCAGAACAUCAGAGCCUCACGAAAUAGUCGACAUCCGAAAUGUUGGUUUGCCUGAAAAAGGGAGAACAUUUAAUUUGAUUGCUAGAUGUGAAUUACACAAAGGCUGGAAAUGUUGUCUCUACUGCAUCGACUGUGGCGUUGCUGUUUGUCCUAAUUGUAUAGCUGGAAGACACAAAAACAUGACACGGUUGAUUUCGCGGAGGUCGAUUAUGAUCCAGACACCGAC